rnacentral:rRNA from 1 species
GUCAACGCUUGGCGGCCGUGCCUCAGACAUGCAAGUCGAACGCGAAAGUCCCCUUCGGGAGGGCAAGUAGAGGUGGCGCACGGGUGAGUAACACGUAGGUAAUCUACCUUUAGGAUUGGGAAUAACACCGGAAACGGUGGCUAAUACCGAAUAAUGCAGCGGCACCUAAUGGUGACAGUUGUUAAGCGGAUGGGUAUGCUUUAGCGGGGAUCGCAAGACCUCGCGUCUGAAGAGGAAGCCUGCGGCAGAUUAGCUAGUUGGUAAGGGUAACGGCUUACCAAGGCUAUGAUCUGUAGGCCGGCCUGAGAGGGCGGUCGGCCACACUGGGACACUGACAUACGGGUCAGACUCCUACGGGAGGGCAGCAGUCGGGAAUAUUUGGGCAAUGGGCGAAAGACCUGACCCAGCAACGCCGCUGUGAAGGAUGAAAUCCCUCGGGAUGUAAACUUCGCAAGAACGGGAAGAAUAAACCGGUGUAAAUACCACCGGUGAUGACGGGUACUGUUUGUAAGCUCCGGCUAACUCCGUGCCAGCAGCCGCGGUAAUAUACGGGUGGGAGCAAGCGUUGUUCGGAUUUACUGGGCGUAAAAGGGCGCGUAGGGCGGCCACCGCAGGGAGUCGACUGUGAGAAUCUCCGGGCUUAAACCGGAAAGGUCAGCCGAUACUGCGGGGCUAGAGUGCAGAAAGGGGCAACUGGAAUUCUCGGUGUGUAGCUGGUGAAAUGCGUAGGAUAUCGAGAGGAACACCUGCGGCGAAGGCGGGUUGCUGGCUGACACUGACGCUUGACGCGCGAAAGCUAGGGGAGCGAACGGGAUUAGAUACCCCGGUAGUCCUAGCCUUAAACGAUGAAUGCUUGGUGUCUGGGGGUUUUAUAGUCCCCGGUUGCCGUCGCUAACGCUUUAAGCAUUCCGCCUGGGGAGUACGGUCGCAGACUGAAACUCAAAGGAAUUGACGGGGACCCGCACAAGCGGUGGAGCAUGUGGUUUAAUUCGACGCAACGCGAAGAAACCUUACCUGGGCUAGAAAUGCAUUGAAGGGAAGUCGCUGAAAGGUCGAAUGCCCGCAAGGCAGCGCUGCAUAGGUGCUUGCAUGGCUGUCGUCAGCUCGUGUCGUGAGAUGUUGGGUUAAGUCCCGCAACGAGCGCAACCCUUAUCAAUUUAGUUGCUAAGGUCCGCAAGGCGCACUCUAUAGAGACGCCGUGCCACAAGCCGGAGGAAGGUGGGGAUGACGUCAAGUCCUCAUGGCCUUUAUGUCCAGGGCUACACACGUGCUACAAUGGACGGUACAAAGCGUCGCCAACCCGCGAGGGGGAGCCAAUCGCAAAAAAACCGUUCUCAGUUCGGAUUGCAGUCUGCAACUCGACCGGCAUGAAGCUGGAAUCGCUAGUAAUCGCGGAUCAGCACGCCGCGGUGAAUACGUUCCCGGGCCUUGUACACACCGCCCGUCACAUCACGAAAGCAGGUUGCACUAGAAGUCGUCGAGCUGACCGCGAGGAGGCCGAUGCCCAAGGUGUGGCUUGUGAUUGGGGUG